rnacentral:rRNA from 1 species
CCACCCGUAUUUGGUGAUAGUACAAAUAAAGGGUAUUCAAGGUGAUUAUUCAGUAAAAAUUAUUUUAGACUCGGGCUUCUCUUCAUAUAUGCUUAUGGCUUCUAUGAUAUUCCCCGCCAUUAGAAAUGAAAUCUGUGUAAUUUAAGAAAUUAGGAACCGUAGACUUGAAAGAAGCCAGGUCAAACUAAUGUGCCAGCUACCGCGGUCAGACAGAAUGGCUAAAUCAAUUUGACACUCAACUCUACGGCACAUUUUUGAUAAUAAUAAUAAAGGUAAGAGGUGCAAUUCGAACCCCUUACUCUCCCCCUUAAUUAUCUAUUCUUUUAUCCCGUGAAACCUGGGCGAUAAACAAGGAUUAGAUACCCUUCUAUUCCCAGGCCUAAAUAGAGAGUCGGUACUACAAACACAUGUUUAAAACCGAAUGCACUUGGCGGUGCUCUAACCAAUUAGGGGAACCUGUUGCUUAAACCGAUGAUCCACGUCCUCUCUACUUUAUCUAGCUCUUAGCAGCCUGUGUAUUGCCGUCGCCAGCCAAAAUAGCGAUAUUAGAGCAAAAUAUGUCUCCCACUAAAAGUCAGGUCGAAAUACAGCCAAUGAUAAAGGGUUAAUGGGUUACAUUUCUUAGUAGUAGUGAACUUUAAUAUAAAAAACUUAUACAAAAAAGGACUUAAAAGUAAGCUUAAACACGUAAUUAAGCUGAAUUGAGCCCUGGAGUGUGUACAAAUCGCCCGUCGCUCUCGCCGAAAGGGGAGAUAAGUCGUAACAAGGUAGGCGUACCGGAAGGUGUGCCUGCAUCUGC